rnacentral:lncRNA from 1 species
AAGGAGCCUACCUAGUAGGGUGUUCUAAGUUACUCACGUUAUCCCAAAUCCUAACUAUCUGCAUUGCAUUUUAUUACUAAAACAUAUAAAAAAAUAUAUUGCAUCCAUUCAUAUACCAUUGUAUCUGCAUUCGGUAUCAUGCAAUGCAUAUCAUUUUUCAAAAAUACCAACAAAAAAAUGCAUUCAUCCUUUGUCCAUGAUUAGUAAAGUGAUUC